rnacentral:misc_RNA from 1 species
AAGUCGUAACAAGGUUUCCGUAGGUGAACCUGCGGAAGGAUCAUUACAGAGUUCAUGCCCUUAUGGGUAGAUCUCCCACCCUUGAAUAUAUUACCUUUGUUGCUUUGGCGGGCCGCCUCGUCCACUGGCUUCGGCUAGUGAGUGCCCGCCAGAGGACCCCAAAUUCUGAUUUAUAGUGUUGUCUGAGUACUAUUUAAUAGUUAAAACUUUCAACAACGGAUCUCUUGGUUCUG